CUCGUAGGCGGUUUGGUAAGUCGGGUGUGAAAACUCUGGGCUCAACCCAGAGAGGCCACUCGAUACUGCUAUGACUAGAGUACGGUAGGGGAGCGGGGAAUUCCUGGUGUAGCGGUGAAAUGCGCAGAUAUCAGGAGGAACACCAGUGGCGAAGGCGCCGCUCUGGGCCGUAACUGACGCUGAGGAGCGAAAGCAUGGGUAGCAAACAGGAUUAGAUACCCUGGUAGUCC
rnacentral:rRNA from 1 species